AUGCACCAAGCAAGCAGCCUGUUGCCAAAAGUCGGCUUUAAUAUCCGUCGGCAUACGCGUGGCGUGAAGCUGAUUACAGACGAAAGAAGACGAUACAACCGAAAAGGCGAAAACCCAGUUUGGAUGCUUAGGAAGUCCCACGCUCUAAGGCUGUGUUUGGCGGUACUGCUGUGUUUGGCAAGUAUCUCGGUAGUAAAUCUGGGCACCGUAGACAAUACACAACAGGCUGUCUUUGUCCCACCAUUGCGGCAAUCAACCACCGCUAGCGAGCAAACAUUGCCCGGCCAUCCGCACCUCCAACCAGCAUCAUCGGCGUAG
rnacentral:rRNA from 1 species